GACGAACGCUGGCGGCGUGCUUAACACAUGCAAGUCGAACGGUAAGGCCCUUUCGGGGGUACACGAGUGGCGAACGGGUGAGUAACACGUGAGUAACCUGCCCUUGACUCUGGGAUAACAUCUGGAAACAGGUGCUAAUACCGGAUAUUCAACCUUUGGCUCAUGCUUUGGGUUGGAAAGCUCCGGCGGUCACGGAUGGACUCGCGGCCUAUCAGCUUGUUGGUGAGGUAAUGGCUCACCAAGGCUUCGACGGUAGCCGGCCCGAGAGGGCGACCGGCCACAUUGGGACUGAGAUACGGCCCAA
rnacentral:rRNA from 1 species